rnacentral:rRNA from 1 species
GAAAACGCUGAUUUUCACCCUGAACAAGCCCGAUCCCAUCUGAUCUCGGAAGCUAAUAAGCAAGGUUGGACCUGGUAAGUACUUGGAAGGGAGACCACCU